rnacentral:rRNA from 1 species
AUGGCUGCUAAAUACUAUCCAAACCAGAAUCUGUUACAAGCGAGGCCAAGAGAUGGCAUUUCAUAUAGUUGGAGAAGCAUUUUGAAAGGAGUACAAGUGUUGCAAAGUGGAAUCAUAUGGAGAGUGGGAGAUGGACACAAUAUCAAUAUAUGGGCAUAUCCUUGGCUACCAAGGGGUGUUUCUAGGAGAGUAACAUCUCAGCAACGCAGCCAUGUUAUCACAAAGGUUUUAGAUUUGAUUGACCCUACCUCUGGCACAUGGGAUUUACAACUGAUUGAUCAAACUUUCAACAAAGAAGUUGUAGAGGUAAUUGUCCAAAUUCCGAUCCGAGAGGGCGCUAAAGACACUCCUGCCUGGCAUUUUGACAAAAAGGUAUAUUUUCAGUAA